GGCGGACGGGUGAGUAAUGUAUAGUCAAUCUGCCCUUUAGAGGGGGAUAACAGUUGGAAACGACUGCUAAUACCCCAUACUCCUUUUACAUUAAUUGUAAUUGGGAAACGUUUUUUCGCUAAAGGAUGAGACUAUAUGGUAUCAGGUAGUUGGUGGGGUAAGAGCCCACCAAGCCAAUGACGCCUAGCUGGUCUGAGAGGAUGAUCAGCCACACUGGAACUGAGACACGGUCCAG
rnacentral:rRNA from 1 species